GACGUAGGGGGCGAGCGUUGUCCGGAGUUACUGGGCGUAAAGCGCACGCAGGCGGUCUGCUAAGUUUGGAGUGACAGUUGGUGGCUUAACUGCCAAAGUGCUUCGAAAACUGACAGACUUGAGGGCUUCAGAGGGACACGGAAUUCCGGGUGGAGUGGUGAAAUGCGUAGAGAUCCGGAGGAACACCAGUGGCGAAGGCGGCUUCCUGGUCUGCAACUGACGCUGUGGCGCGAAAGCUAGGGGAGCAAACGGG
rnacentral:rRNA from 1 species